rnacentral:rRNA from 1 species
GGGACACGUGGUAUCCUGUCUGAAUAUGGGGGGACCAUCCUCCAAGGCUAAAUACUCCUGACUGACCGAUAGUGAACCAGUACCGUGAGGGAAAGGCGAAAAGAACCCCGGCGAGGGGAGUGAAAAAGAACCUGAAACCGUGUACGUACAAGCAGUGGGAGCACGCUUAGGCGUGUGACUGCGUACCUUUUGUAUAAUGGGUCAGCGACUUAUAUUCUGUAGCAAGGUUAACCGAAUAGGGGAGCCGAAGGGAAACCGAGUCUUAACUGGGCGUUAAGUUGCAGGGUAUAGACCCGAAACCCGGUGAUCUAGCCAUGGGCAGGUUGAAGGUUGGGUAACACUAACUGGAGGACCGAACCGACUAAUGUUGAAAAAUUAGCGGAUGACUUGUGGCUGGGGGUGAAAGGCCAAUCAAACCGGGAGAUAGCUGGUUCUCCCCGAAAGCUAUUUAGGUAGCGCCUCGUGAAUUCAUCUCCGGGGGUAGAGCACUGUUUCGGCAAGGGGGUCAUCCCGACUUACCAACCCGAUGCAAACUGCGAAUACCGGAGAAUGUUAUCACGGGAGACACACGGCGGGUGCUAACGUCCGUCGUGAAGAGGGAAACAACCCAGACCGCCAGCUAAGGUCCCAAAGUCAUGGUUAAGUGGGAAACGAUGUGGGAAGGCCCAGACAGCCAGGAUGUUGGCUUAGAAGCAGCCAUCAUUUAAAGAAAGCGUAAUAGCUCACUGGUCGAGUCGGCCUGCGCGGAAGAUGUAACGGGGCUAAACCAUGCACCGAAGCUGCGGCAGCGACACUAUGUGUUGUUGGGUAGGGGAGCGUUCUGUAAGCCUGUGAAGGUGUGCUGUGAGGCAUGCUGGAGGUAUCAGAAGUGCGAAUGCUGACAUAAGUAACGAUAAAGCGGGUGAAAAGCCCGCUCGCCG